rnacentral:rRNA from 1 species
GCUGAAAACCUAGCUUACUUUAUUCUAAUGAAUAUACCACCUUAACACAUACUAAAUAAAACAUUUUGUACAUUAAGUAAAGGCGAUUUAAAAAAUGUUUUAAGCGUUAAGCUUCCCUAUUCAUAAUUUAAAUACCAAACACAACACAAAACCCGUGAAUUACUAUUGAAUGACUCUAUAACUAUAUAGAAAACCUCAUGCUAGAACUAGUAACAAGAAGACAACCUUCUCCAAAAUGUAAGUAUAAGCCACUACGAAUAAAUCAUUGGCACUUACCGUAACUGAACCAACAGCAACAACUAAACAAGAAAACUCUGCUGUAUUCAACGUUAACCUUACACUAGAACAUUAAUGGAAAGAUUAUAAAAAAGGGAAGGAACUCGGCAAAUAACAACCCCGCCUGUUUACCAAAAACAUCGCUUCUCGAAAUAACGAUGAGAAGUCCAGCCUGCCCAGUGAUCAAUUAAACGGCCGCGGUACCCUGACCGUGCAAAGGUAGCGCAAUCACCUGUUCUUUAAAUAAGGACUAGUAUGAAUGGCACCACGAGGGUUACACUGUCUCCCCUUUUUAAUCAGUGAAACUGAUCUUCCCGUGAAGAAGCGGGAAUAUACAUAUAAGACGAGAAGACCCCAUGAAGCUUUAAAUUCAGAAUCAACUGCUAACAAUCAUAUCAUUCUAACAAAACAGACCUGACUUCUGACUUUCGGUUGGGGUGACCGCGGAGAAAAACAAAUCCUCCACGAUGAAAGGAACUUACUCCUUAUCCAAGAACUACAACUCUAAGAAUCAAUAAUCUGACAAAAUUGACCCAAAUUACUUUGAUCAACGAACCAAGUUACUCUGGGGAUAACAGCGCAAUCUAUUUCAAGAGCCCAUAUCGACAAAUAGGUUUACGACCUCGAUGUUGGAUCAGGGCAUCCAAGUGGCGCAACCGCUACUAACGGUUCGUUGUCAACGAUAAAGC